rnacentral:sRNA from 1 species
UUUUAGCCCUGAUGGGAGCGGCAUCCUUGUUGGGGCUCUUUUUUGAGCCUCAGCAAGAUAUAGCGUACAGCAGGACGAGGC